UGGCAUAAUUCCUUCCCAAGCUGACAUACUGGCAGCAACAAAAAUAGCCAUCACCUGGAGCGUGCUGCCUCUGAAAGGCAGAAACCACCAGAACAAAGAACACUGUCUCCUCUUGAUCACGAAAGGCUGAUUUAUUCUUGUUGCAUUAUUAUAAAAGGUAUCUCAUAUUUUGUAACAUGCCGAAAACAGUGGGGGGCUUUUACUUGUUUCAUCCUAUAUCUCUGGCUCCACUUUAUUUUUCAAAUCAGACAUUUUCAGUUUCUCUCAAUAUUAAAUAAAAACACAGCAGAAGAAAAUAAAUCAAGCACCUCCAAAUUAGUUCAUCAUCUCCUCUGCGAGUGGUCAGCAUUGCAUCAGCUGUCAAGCAAUUCUAAAGCCAACUUUUAUGCCUAGACACUGAAUUCCAUGAAUAAAAAUUCUGUGAUAAUAUCAGUGGUAAGAAAUUAAAACCUCCUGGAUGCUUUCUAGCAUCCACAUGCAGAGUCCUAGAGCCUGUCAGGCACUGCACCUGGCAAGAAGCUAACAAAUACAGAUCCUGGAUGAGGCUUUGCUUGUCUGUGGUGAAACCUAGGCUCCUCUCAAGCCCUGGUGCUGGAGCCCCGGGAGCCCAAAGCAAUGCUGGAUCCUCUCUGGUGAUUGCAGCAGGUACCUGACCAGAAACAGCACUGAGGUAGAAGCGGUUUGUUUUAGUCCCUGAGGCUCCAUAGUCAAGGCCUGGAAACAGCAGGGAAAGAUGUGCCAGCUCUACAGGGAGAGAAAGUGGGAGAAACUUCCAGAACAGGAGAGUAACACCACAGCUGUGGGAGUGAGGAGGUGGGCACAGGAUAACAAGGCUGCAGCUGUGUGGUGAUGUUGUUCAGCUGUGUGUGGAGCUGACUGCGGGGUUAUAACUGAGAGAGGUGAGGUUGCUGCCCUCAGAUACAGGAGACCCCAUCAGAAUGAACGUGUGUGUUUGGCAAGCUUCAGAUUUCUUGUCUGGACGUUGGAAAUAACAUUUGGAUCUGGGCUUCUUUCUGGUGACCCAGGUGUAGUGAGCGAUGUUCCAAUCGAGCUUCUGCCUGAGGACUUGGUGCAGCACUACAGAUUUUCCAGCGGUGCAGAUGCGGUGCGGUACCUUGACCUCUGGAUAUGAGUUGGUGCAGUAGGUGCUCUCACUGAUGUUGGAGAGCUUUUUCAUUUCUUUUCCCUUCACCUCAACUAAAAUAUCUGUCUUGAAUAAAUGUUUUGAUAACAAACCAUGAUAAUAGACGGUUAAUUCCAGAAUAAUGCCUAAAACCAUUUCAGGAAGAAAAAUAAUCUUAAUGUUGUCCUCAGAUGACUAAAAGCAAUAAUGAGAGCAUGAAAAAGAAACAGAAUAUCAUGGAGUCUUUGAGGCCAGAUGGAAAAUAUGCCUUCGUGAAAAUGUUUCUACUCAACUAAUCCUGUCUUGGCUUUAAGGUGCAUCUUGUCAGCUUUGGGCUUCAAGAAGGUCACAAAGUCUCCUUUUGGAUUGGAGACCUGACUGGAACACAGCUAGAAGAUUUGGAGCUGAGAAAGACCUGCUUGUUGCAGUUGAAUAUUUCACUCAUAUUUUCAAGUGAAAACUUAGAAAAUGAGUUCAAAAUGAUUUGCAGCAUUGAAACUGGAAGCUGUUGUGUGUCCUCUGUCCAGUCAGCAGAAUUCCCCAAGUAUCUUCUGGGUUCUCAUCUCCUGUGCUGGCUCACAAUUGGUCAACAGCAGCUUCAAUUCACUGGCAAUAAAUGAGGUAAGGAUUAUGGGGGGGACAGGGAGGUAAGACUUUGCUGAACCACAGAAAUGGGAGGCUCAUCAACACCUUUCAAAUGUAGUCUGAUGGCUCUGUCUAUAAAGAACCCUUUCUGACUGUGGAGAGAGAAGUUAAGUGAUCUAAUUGGAUAACUGGGCAAGAAUAAAACAUGCAAAUUCUUCUCUGAAUCAGGUGAGAAGUUCUGGAAUUCACUUCUCCAAUGGUUCAGACUUGGGAUAUGAGCCUUACCUUUGUAGGCAAAUUCAGAUACUGAAAUACGGCUAAGAGUUAGCUGAGCAUGUAAAUGAGGAAGUUACUUAGUUGUAUGCACACAAAGUUGCCACAGAGUUGACAGUGAAUCACUAGAAGACAUAAAUAUUUUGUUACUUCUGUCUAUUUGAUGAUAAGCUUGAAGGGUAUUACUGUCUCUGAAAAAGUUCUCUUUCCUGAAUAAUGGCUGUGUUUUAAUUAGUAUAUUUACUUUAGAAAUUCUA